CCUACGAGUGGCAGCAGUAGGGAAUUUUCCACAAUGGGCGAAAGCCUGAUGGAGCAACGCCGCGUGGGUGAAGAAGGUCUUCGGAUCGUAAAACCCUGUUGUUAGAGAAGAAAGUGCGUGAGAGUAACUGUUCACGUUUCGCCGGUAUCUAACCAGCAAGCCACGGCUAACUACGGACCAGCAGCCGCGGUAAUACGUAGGUGGCAAGCGUUAUCCGGACUUAUUGGGCGUAAGGGGAACGCAGGCUGGCUUUUAAGUCGGAUGGGAAAUCCUUGGGUUAAACCGGUGUAGGGCAUUGGAAACGGGGAGGCUGGAGGGCAGAAGGGGAGGGUGGAACUCCAUGUGUAGCGGUGAAAUGCGUAGAUAAAUGGAAGAACACCAGGGGCGAAAGCGGCCCUCGGGUCUGUAACUGACGCUGAGGUUCGAAGGCGUGGGUAGCAAACAGGAUUAGAUACCCUUGUAGUC
rnacentral:rRNA from 1 species